CCGCGACGUUGAUUAUGCCGAAGCCGCGUAAGCGAGUGGAGGUACAGUCGUCCUGGCCGGUAACAGCCAGAGAUUACGACCGGGUGAAUUGCUGGAAAGCCCUGAUAGCUUUUAUUGCCACAACGUAGUUGGAAACGACAAGCGUGACGGCCUGAGAAAAUAAAAGAUUGGGCAAUCAGCAGCCAAGCUCCUGUCUCGAAAGAGUGGAGAAGGUUCAACGACUAGGAUAGACCAUCUAAGGCGCAAGCUAUGGUGAUGAAAUCCGUAGGUGAGACAGUAUACAUCAGUACUGUGGAUCCGAAGUGCCCGGCCCCUACUAACACUAGAGGGUGAAGAUAUAGUCUAGUCAUUUAUGAAAGUAAAUG
rnacentral:ncRNA from 1 species